rnacentral:rRNA from 1 species
CCUACGGUGAGCUGCAGUCGAGAAUCAUUCACAAUGGGGGAAACCCUGAUGGUGCGACGCCGCGUGGGGGAAUGAAGGUCUUCGGAUUGUAAACCCCUGUCAUGUGGGAGCAAAUUAAAAAGAUAGUACCACAAGAGGAAGAGACGGCUAACUCUGUGCCAGCAGCCGAGUUAAUACAGAGGUCUCAAGCGUUGUUCGGAAUCACUGGGCGUAAAGCGUACGUAGGCUGUUUCGUAAGUCGUGUGUGAAAGGCGGGGGCUCAACCCGCGGACGGCACAUGAUACUGCGAGACUAGAGUAAUGGAGGGGGAACCGGAAUUCUCGGUGUAGCAGUGAAAUGCGUAGAUAUCGAGAGGAACACUCGUGGCGAAGGCGGGUUCCUGGACAUUAACUGACGCUGAGGCACGAAGGCCAGGGGAGCGAAAGGGAUUAGAUACCCCGGUAGUC